CAUCGAUUAUUCCACUAAUUUUUAAAUUUUAAAUCUUCGGAGUACUCAAACCCCUAGAGCUUCCCGUUCCCCUUCCGUGCAGAGAGAGAGCGCCAUUGGGGGCUAAGGGUCCACGGAGCGGACGAUCCAGAUCGAAGGGGGUCCACGGGAACUCCCAGCUCGACGCCUUCGGGCCGGGGAACACACGCUCGCCCACUAGAAAAAUCCGGCUCGAUCCCCGUCCUUUCGCCUUUACCGCCUUCCCCGCACCUUUCCCCACCCUCCACUUCCAAAAUAUAUAAAUUUCCGAGCUCGUACCUCGUGUACUGUUUCUGCGCUCUCUGUCACGUUCGAGAUGUCGGGCCGCAGGAUGUCGCACCAGCUCAGUAACGGAAUGUUUGUGUCGGGUCCGCCGGAGCAGCCAAAGGAGCGGCAGCCGACAAUCGGUUCGCGGGCGGUGCCCUACACCGGCGGUGAUGUCAGGAAGUCCGGCGAGCUGGGAAAGAUGUUCGACAUCCCCGUGGUGAUGGAGGGCUCCACCGCCACUCCCGCCAGCCGGUCUCGGUCUCACUCCGGCCCCCUCCCCCGCCCGUCCUCUGGCUCCGGGCCGCAGUCUCGGAAAACCUCAGGCCCGCUGUUCCAGGUCCCUGUCACCGGGCUGAUCACCUCCGGUCCGGACCGCCGAUCGGGCGGGCAGCAGCAGCAACCAGCUGCGGCGGAGCAGUCGCCGGCGGUGGCCGGGAGGAGGAAGGCGGCGCUGGGAGGAUACGGGCCGGCGGUGACGGUGGUGGGCCACAAGGGGAAAUACGCGUCUGGUAUCCCGACGGUGUGGUACUGGAUUGUCUCCCUGACGUUUGUGGUGGGGCUCGGGGUCGGGGGGUUCCUCUGGGUGGUGGUGGCGAGGCCGGUGCUGCUGAUAGUGGUGGCAGCGCUGGGGAUUUUACUUGGGUUGCUGGCGUUGUGGAACUGGAUCAUGCGGAGCCGGGAGGUGGAGAGGUUCUUGACAUGCUACCCCAAUACUCCUAUCGAUCCCAGGAACCUCCCAAUUGGAAAGACUGUCAAGAUCACUGGGCAUGUCACCUGUGGUAGCAUUCCUCUUGAAACAUCCUAUCAGAAUGUCUCUAGGUGCAUAUAUGCAUCUACUGAGCUUUAUGAGUAUCGAGGAUGGAGUGGCGCACCUGCUAUCCCUAAUCAUAAGCCCUUCACAUGGGGAUUGAGACAUUCAGAGAGGCAUGUUGCAGAUUUCUAUAUAUCCGACCCCAAUACUGGGAUGAGAUUUCUUGUAAGAGCAGGAAAUGGAGCCAAAGUAACUUCUUUUGUUAAACCCGCAACCGUUUUAAAUGUAAACAAGGAAGACAAAGACCUAUCUCCUGACUUCAUAAGCUGGCUGACAGAGCAUAAAAUUUCCAGUGAUGAUCGUGUAAUGCGGCUUGAGGAGGGUUCUUCUUGUUAUGUUUAGAGCCCGAAGCUUCUCCAGAAUUGGUUUCAGCAACAUAUGCUUGUCAUGAAGUUUUAAUAGCUCCAAAUCGUUCAUCUUCCAACUCAAUAUGGCGAGCAACAUUACCAAAGGUCUUGACACCAUCAUUGUGAGUCAAAAUUGAUCUUCAUGUGCUCCUAACUAUCAGCAAGGGAUCGAAUUACAGUUUGAACUUGCUGUUCCUCUGUGAGAUAGUGUCUUGUUGAGCUCUCCAAUCAUGUUUGACAUCUCCCUCAAAUGUUGUUUAAUGUUUUAUCAAAGAGGGGAAUACUGCGAGUGUGAUAGGCAUUCUCAAGAAGCAUGAAAAUCUGAUUAUUAUUGAUCCACCCAUGGAUGCUAUUUCGACUGGUUGCCAAUGGGCAAGAUGUUUUGUUCCUGUGUUUGUUGAAGGCCUCAUUCUGAUCGGAGAUGGAAGUCCAGAUGAGCUGAUCUAUCAUGUGUAGAUAUUGCUAGGUGAAUGUAGUAGUUCCAAAUUGAUAGGAGAAAGUAGCUUUGUUUGUUUUGUAAAUAUGUCAUGUAUGUGGGAAGUGGGAGGUUGAAAAACACUAGAAAUGGAGUGGAGAAGUAUCAAUGCCUCAGAUUGAAUUCAUUGAGGAUCAAAUAAUGGGGUGGUUGCUUUCUGUUUUCUUUUACAAAUGCGGGUCAUGUUAUAACGGGGAAUGUAAAUGUACAUAUUUUGUUCUUCCUCAUUGUAUUAGACCAAUGUGUUGUGUGGUUA